rnacentral:rRNA from 1 species
GACGAACGCUGGCGGCGUGCUUAACACAUGCAAGUCGAACGGAAAGGCCCUGCUUUUGUGGGGUGCUCGAGUGGCGAACGGGUGAGUAACACGUGAGUAACCUGCCCUUGACUUUGGGAUAACUUCAGGAAACUGGGGCUAAUACCGGAUAUGAGCUCCUGCUGCAUGGUGGGGGUUGGAAAGUUUCGGCGGUUGGGGAUGGACUCGCGGCUUAUCAGCUUGUUGGUGGGGUAGUGGCUUACCAAGGCUUUGACGGGUAGCCGGCCUGAGAGGGUGACCGGAAAAAUUGGGACUGAGAUACGGCCCAGACUCCUACGGGAGGCAGCAGUGGGGAAUAUUGCACAAUGGGCGGAAGCCUGAUGCAGCAACGCCGCGUGCGGGAUGACGGCCUUCGGGUUGUAAACCGCUUUCGCCUGUGACGAAGCGUGAGUGGCGGUAAUGGGUAAAGAAGCACCGGCUAACUACGUG